rnacentral:rRNA from 1 species
UGGGGAAUAUUGCACAAUGGACGGAAGUCUGAUGCAGCGACGCCGCGUGGGGGAUGAAGGCUUUCGGGUUGUAAACUCCUUUCAGUACAGAAGAAGCUUUAUUGUGACGGUAUGUGCAGAAGAAGCGCCGGCUAACUACGUGCCAGCAGCCGCGGUAAUACGUAGGGCGCGAGCGUUUUCCGGAAUUAUUGGGCGUAAAGAGCUCGUAGGCGGUUUGUCGCGUCUGCUGUGAAAGACCGGGGCUUAACUCCGGGGCUGCAGUGGGUACGGGCAGGCUUGAGUGCGGUAGGGGUAACCGGAAUUCCUGGUGUAGCGGUGGAAUGCGCAGAUAUCAGGAGGAACACCGAUGGCGAAGGCAGGUUACUGGGCCGUUACUGACGCUGAGGAGCGAAAGCAUGGGGAGCGAACAGG